rnacentral:misc_RNA from 1 species
CGCGAGCUGCGGCGAAAUCGCAAUCGCUGCGGCGGAUCAGCAAGUAGAUCAAUUGAUAGAUCAUGCUUGCUGCGCCGACGACUAUUUCGAGCAUGGCUUGCAUCUUGGGAAAAGCUAAGAGUGGUAUUGCCUAUUGAUAACCGAUAAGAAACCAGGGGUUUUGAAAGGUUUGCGACGCCUGGCAUCGUUGGGUGCGACCGCGGCCUACCCAACCUCGAUAUUUGUGCCUGUGUACGUUAAGUUUUGUGUUCGCUAAUUGCUAUACAUAAGAAGUCAUAAUUAAUAAUCGGAGUAUAGGUCGCAAUUACCACUACAGAUGCGGUAUCGUUGUCAUUUCGCAGAAUUGUACGACUAGUGAUGAUAUCAUCUAAUCGCCGUUUUGUUCGCUUCGUGGGUGGAUUAUUCCAAACUUGGUUCACGUAACGUAACGUCGUUUAUUGAUUCCGACAUCGCGCCUGCUCGUGAUAUUAGGUCGCGUCACUCGUUGUUAUAAUUUUCAAACCUGAUUCGGUGAUCCGAUACAAAAUCCUCGGUGUCAUCGUCAUCAGAAAAAAACCGCGGGCUAGCCCGGUUAAACACUGGGAAUACACCACAGCAUACACAUAACUAUAUAUGCCCCGGAUACCGACGACGUUCAACAACGGGGGCUGCGCCCGAGUUUUCGGCAGGUGGAUUUCAGCAGGGGUGAUGCGGGGAUGUGGAUGAGGAUCGUCCCACAAGCUGGCCGGGAUGGCUGGGGUCACUACAGCGCCUACGCCAGGGUCUUGUUUCUAGUACUCUUUCUGUGUCUCUUGGUGGUCGAAGCAGGUGCUAACUAUACAGACCCUGGUGGGGCAUCUAGUGUUGUUUCUGACAGCAGCAUUGCGCCCCGGUCUUCCCAGCCUACAGAUCUUUCCGCACCCGUCGGGUCUAGAAAUGACGAGUGCCGCAAUACAACUGUCAAACCUGUUACAGGUGAUGGCGGUUUAUCAGGGAUCAACCACGGAUCUUACCCAUACCCACCUGUGAUAUCAUCGACAUUUUUGAGUGGUGCUUUUACUUGUCAACCCUAUCACGGGGUCUAUGUUAAUCACAUCUACUUCCAAUUAGCCAAUGCAUUCUUCCUUCUCUCCCACCUUGCCCCUAGUGGCAUACACGGCGUUUUAUAUCUCCGAUGUACUCUACUUGUUGGUUGCGCCUUCCUUGCCCUUUGGGGAUGGGCUAUUGCCUGCUGGCUUGAUGCAGCUUUGUGGAAUGCGAUAUUCGUUGCAAUAAAUUUUGUUCACGUCUGUAUGCUCCUCUACAGACUUCGACCAGUCAAGUUCUCCAGGGAAGUUGAAGAGGUAUUUGUCGCAGUGUUCCAACCUCUGCGAGUGUCACGCCACCAAUUUAAAAAAGUUUUGAACUGUAUGAAAGGAAUCCGUCAACUCAAGUACCAAGAAGUUUAUGCACAGGAAAAAGUCACAAAAGUCGACUCACUUUCAUUGGUACUUUCUGGAAAGUUGGUGGUCUCGCAGAAUGGGAGAGCAUUACAUAUCGUAUUUCCGCAUCAAUUUCUUGAUUCUCCAGAAUGGUUUGGCGUAUCCACGGACGAAUAUUUUCAAGUAUCUAUAACAGCAAUGGAGGAGUCCAGAAUACUACUCUGGCACAGAGACAAGCUCAAAUUGAGUAUCAUCACGGAUCAAUUUCUGCAAGCAGUAUUCGACCAUAUUCUUGGAAGGGACGUUGUUAAAAAGUUGAUGCAGGUGAGUGAGACAAUGGCGGCAAGUGGCCUCCAUCAGCAUCAAAAUGGGCAGGUUGUAGGCUUGGCUAGUGUCCCAGGUGUUGGGACAGGUUCUACCAAUGUUGAUAACAGCGAUUUGGAUACUAAGCUACAGCUGGUGGUAAAGAACAGUGGCGGCAAUGGUCAAGGUAUCACCGCACUCAUCAACCGGCAGCUACAAGGUUUGUCACGGAUCAAAUACUAUUACUGUGCAGCUGCAGGUGACCCCAAUGCUUGGCGAUUAGGAAGGAUCGAAGAAGCUGACCAUGAGACACCUGUCUAACACAUGAAGGGAGGGCACCCACCCACCAAAUGCUUGAUGGACAAUCGAUCACUAUACUUCUUGAUUCGCGAUAGAACUAGAGUGUUGUGCAGUUUUUGAGAGAUUGAAGUUUACUCAUUGAAACGUGGGUGUGAGGGGGUAAUCGAUGCGGUGUUAUUACGUCAUCUAACUAUUGACAGUUGAAACCGAUUGAUGGAACGUUGAAUAUACACUACACGUUAGCACAGGUUUUUCCACCUACUUGAAUCAUGUACUGUAAAUUGCGAUACCUGUCUAUCUGUGAAUGUGUGUGCGUAGAGUGUGCGUCUACUCGAUGCUUCCAUUUAUCAUUCGGUGUACACCAUAGUAUUUAUAAUUGUACAGUGUGGUAAGUCGUGUGAGGGAGAUUAAUAUGAAUACUCAAUGGAGCUUACAUUGUAUUGAUAUUUUAUUGAUUCUAUCAAAAGAGAAAAUCUGUACAAAUGAAUGCAUCCAAUUGUUA